UCUUUAUUUGGGGGGAUACCGUGAUUUAUAACAUCAUGUGCUGAAGUUCGAAUCUUCAUAAAGAA
rnacentral:tRNA from 1 species